rnacentral:rRNA from 1 species
GGAAUAUUGGACAAUGGGCGCAAGCCUGAUCCAGCAAUGCCGCGUGGGUGAAGAAGGCCUUCGGGUUGUAAAGCCCUUUUGUACGGGAAGAAAAGCUGCCGGUUAAUACCCGGUGGUCAUGACGGUACCGUAAGAAUAAGCACCGGCUAACUUCGUGCCAGCAGCCGCGGUAAUACGAAGGGUGCAAGCGUUAAUCGGAAUUACUGGGCGUAAAGCGUGCGUAGGCGGUUGGUUAAGUCUGUCGUGAAAGCCCUGGGCUCAACCUGGGAAUGGCGAUGGAUACUGGCCAGCUAGAGUGUGAUAGAGGAUGGCGGAAUUCCCGGUGUAGCAGUGAAAUGCGUAGAGAUCGGGAGGAACAUCUGUGGCGAAGGCGGCCACCUGGACCAGCACUGACACUGAGGCACGAAAGCGUGGGGAGCAAA